rnacentral:tRNA from 1 species
GUCCCCAUAGCUCAGUUGGAUAGAGCGCUUCCCUUCUAAGGAAGAGGUCGCAGGUUCGAUUCCUGCUGGGGAUA